GUGAGGAAUAUUGGUCAAUGGACGAGAGACUGAACCAGCCAAGUCGCGUGAAGGAAGACGGUUCUAUGAAUUGUAAACUUCUUUUGUGCAGGAAUAAAGUGGGUUACGUGUAACCUUUUGUAUGUACUGUACGAAUAAGGAUCGGCUAACUCCGUGCCAGCAGCCGCGGUAAUACGGAGGAUCCGAGCGUUAUCCGGAUUUAUUGGGUUUAAAGGGUGCGUAGGUGGAUUGAUAAGUCAGAGGUGAAUGUUUGCAGCUUAACUGUAAAAUUGCCGUUGAAACAGUCUGUCUUGAGUGCAAAUGACGUAGGCGGAAUGUGUUCUGUAGCGGUGAAAUGCUUAGAUAUAACACAGAACUCCGAUUGCGAAGGCAGCUUACUCGGAUGCAACUGACACUGAUGCACGAAAGCGUGGGUAUCAAACAGGAUUAGAAACCACAGUAGUCC
rnacentral:rRNA from 1 species